GUGUCUGCUUCAUCCACAACAUUAUCAACACCGUUCUUCCCGUCUCUAAAGUCACUCACAAUAGAGGCAUGUCCUAAUUUGAAGGGAUGGUGGGGGAGAACAGGGAGGGAUUUAGUUGCAACAACAUCUGCGUCAACACCAGCUCAUCAACAAGAUCAGUCUCACCACUCGCUGCCUUUAUUUCCUCUUCUUUCUUAUUUGCGGAUUAUUAGUUGCCCUAAAAUGACUUCCAUGCCCCUGUUUCCCAAUCUUGAAGAAUCUCUAUAUUUAGAGAAUGUCAGUGUGAAGCCUUUGCAAGAGACAAUGGCAAUGACCCUUUUAGUUCCCUCUUCCUCCUCUUCAUUACCCUCUUCUUCUCCUCUCUCCAAAUUAAAUAGGAUGGAUUUGGAUUCUAUAGAAGAUAUAGAGUCUCUUCCGGCUGAGUGGGCACUAUAUUCUCUCAAGAAACUAAUAAUUAAGAAUUGCCCUAGACUAACAUCUAUGUCUGGAGCGGCCCGUUAUCUCAUCUCCCUCUGGUUUCUAUCAAUUGAAAGUUGUGAGGAGUUCGAUCCAGUAAGAGACAUGCAUGAUGAAUGGCGAUGCCUCAAUUGCCUCAGUCAUUUAUGUUUCAUAAGCAUUCCGAAACUGAAGUCUCUCCCUGUGGGUCUUCAAUGUAUUUCCACCCUAAAACAGCUCAUCAUUUUUAACUGUCCCAAUUUAACGACUUUGCCGGAGCUCACCACCCUAAAAGAGCUCAUCAUUUUAAACUGUCCCAAUUUAAUGACUUUGCCGGAGCUCACCUCACUUGAACAACUUUGGAUUACUAGAUGCGAGCCUAAUCUGACAUCACUUCUUGAGAUUAGUUGUCUCACUUCUUUACAGUGGCUGCGGAUUGAAGGCUUUCCCAAUUUGAUUACUUUCCCCGAAUCAAUUAGGAUUCCAAUCUCACUUGAAACGCUUGCCAUUUCGCAAUGUCCCAAUCUCACAACACUUCCUGAUGAUGGCUGUCUCAAGUCUUUACAAAUACUGGAAGUUUGGCAUUGUCCUCAGUUAUCGAAAAAAUACAAAAAUAAAAUCGAAAAGGAUUUCCCUAAUUUGGAAAUCAGAUGGAUAAAGUGUUGAGACCACAGCAACAAACGGCUCUACUUCGUCUUCUGCAAUGGCCCUUCCCCUCUUUCACUUGCUUCAUGGAGAUAAUUAUCUGAAGAAUUUCAAUAAGUUUCCGGGGCAAUAUGAUCAUGGGAUAAAUCACUUGGAUAGUUCCAAGAUUUGGGAAGUUGAUGCAGCUAAGAAUGAAUUGGAAACACAGAAUGAAAGGAGGUGUAUGUAUCUGGGCAUAUUCAGAAUCAUAUGAAAAAGUGCUACAAGUCAACAGCUAAGGCUAAGUACACUCGGGAAGGCAGUACUCAAUUUCAAGCCCUUAACUUCUUCAAAAAAGCUACACUCUCUUGUUGUUUGAUGGUCAGGGGAAGCAUUGGGAACCCCAAUUUCUUUCUUUGGAGCUGUUUCUUUUCCUGUCCCCUGCCCUGGCAUAAUGCUUUGCUUCCGGUUCUUCGGAAAAAUCAACUGACUUCCACCCUUGUCAUAUAUUCCAUACAUCACACUAAAUAGAUUGAAGUCUGGCACUUGUUGAUAUUUUGAUAACAUCUGUAUAUGGAAUAUAAAAACAGACCAGAGUUUAUGAUCUCCAAAGCGAGUCGAUACUCCAAUUAUGUAGUUUGGCAUGGAUGAAGAUCACAACUAGGUGUUAACAGAAGAGUUGUUCCCUUUCAAGAAUGGCUUCAUUAUGCUCGCAGCUGAUUCCUUGGAUAUUUGACAACUUUCUAAUGAAGCUAUUGAAAAUUUUCAACCUAAACAGGAACUUUGAAUUUGUAAACGGACAGUUUUUAGUGAAUUUACAGCAACUACAAGAUGAUAAAUAGGUUGAAUUAGAUGAAGACUGUACCUUGGUGUUAGCAACAAGAUUACUACCUAUCUUCAGUUAAAGUUCAAUUUCAGGGUGACUGGUUCUUAGACUUUUCAGCCACCCUAUGUGAAACCUAAGCUGAUUGCAAACAUUUAUCUUAGUGUAAUUGUUUCAAUAACAAAACAAGCCUGUGAUGAAUUAUUUUUUUUAAUGCUUUUCAAAUUGGAACCCUUUUACCUAUAUACAUAACUGUACUUUAAAGCAUCCAUAUGAACUUAAUUAUAAGAACUUUCUUGAGAAAUAUUUUAUAGGGAUUAAACAUCUAGAAUAUGCCAAUUAUCAAGAAGAAUCAGAUAAUCUGAAGAAAUUUCUGUGGAAAUCUGAUGAUGGGAUGUAUUGCUUGGAUAGUUUCAGGAUUUGAGAAGCUGAUGUAGCUAAGUUCUUGAGGCUGGAGAUGGAGUAUUUGAGGCAAGUUCUAUAACGUCUCAUAGAGACUGCUAAGAAAGCGAAGAUGGAGCUGUCAUCUCUGACUCAAACCAAUAAUAUUAGAUGGCCCAAAACACAUUGACACCACACUGACUAGUGUCAAAUUUGAAGAACUGUGUUCAGAUUUAUUAGACAGUCUAAUUGCCUGCUUAAGUUCACUGGAUUACAACUCAUAAGCUUUAAGCACCAGUUGAAACUUCCUUGAGAGAUGCAAAGCUUUCCUUCAAAGAUAUGGAUGUAAUUCAACUUGUAUCCCAGCUUUUUAGGAGCUGAAAAAUAUGGAUGAAGUUUCUGUUCUUGGGGCUGUAGUUCAGAAGGACUUGAAACUUUGGGUGGUGUCAACUUCACCAACUUCCAAAUUAGAGGUGUUCUCUACCAUAGCAGAUGGAUAGACCAGUGAAGAGAUUAAUGUCUAUCAGGGUGAGAGAGAGUUCGUGAGGGACAACCAGUGCUAGUACCAUGCCAAGUGAUGGGGUGGAUAGGAUGGUUAAAGAAGCUGAAAAUUUUGCAAAAGGAAGACAAGGAAAAGAGGGAUGCCAUAGACAAAGAAUCAAGCUGACUCAGUUUUGUACCAAACUGGAAGCAACUAAAAGAGCUGGGAGACAAUGUUCCUAGCUAGACAAGGAGAAUGUAGAGGCUAAAGUGACUGAGGUCAUGGAUGCCAUCUUUGGUGGUUCUACCCAAGCCAUUAAAGAUGCAAUGGCUGUCCUGAAUCAAGAAAUUAUGUAACUGUGGUAGUCAAUGUAGAUGUGAAUUUGAAUUGGUUCAUAACCUUAGGAACAAGUACAAUGAGUCCAUGGCUUAGAGUAAUAUCAAUAGCAUUGUGGUGCAUGAUCAUUAUUGACAACUACCCUCUAGGAAGCUGUUUUAUAUUCAGUCUACUUGCCCGCUUAAGUUCACUGGAUUACAACUGCAAUUAAUUUUCUCAUAGGCUUUGAGCACCAGUUGAAACUUCCUUAAGAGAUACAAAGCUUCACUUCAAAGAUACUGAUGAGAUUGAAUUGGAAACACAGAAUGAAAGGAUGUGUAUAUAUCGAGGCAUAUUCAGAACCAUAUGAACAAGUGCAACAAGUCAACAGCUAAGACUGGUGUUUUUUAGCUAGAGAAGUUAUUGACAUUGUGCUCUUGGAUGUCUCACCGUAGAAGGACUUGAAACUUUGGGUGGUGUAAUGACAAAGAUUAUCCCAAGGAACAUAACUUCACCAACUCUCAAAUCUGCAGAGGUGUUCUCCAUCGCAGUAGAUGGACAGACCAGUGAAGUGAUUAAUGUCUAUCAGGGUGAGAGAGAGAUCAUGAGGGACAACAAAUCCCUUGGAAGCUUUUGCUUAAGACACCAAAACCGGUGCUAGCACCAUCACACCAUGCCAAGUGAUGAGGUGGAUAGUAUUGUUAAAAGAAGCUUAAAAUUUUGCAAAAGGAAGACAAAGAAAAGAGGGAUGCCAUAGACAAAAAGAACCAAGCUGACUCAGUUUCGUACCAAACUAGAAGCAACUAAAAGGGCUGGGAGACAAUCUUCCUAGCUAGACAAGGAGAAUGUAGAGGCUAAAGUGAAUGAUGUCAAGGAUGUCAUUUCUGGUGGAUCUACCCAAGCCAUUAAUGAUGCAAUGGCUGUCCUGAAUCAAGUAAUUAUGUAACUGGGAUAGUCAAUGUUGAUGUGAGUAAUGUGACUUUGAAUUGGGUUAUCUGUCAGCUUUUUUCGGAUUGACCUCUUUGCAUGGACGGCAACUAUUGUUUAGCCUUGAAUUAUGUUAAGAGUUUUUUUUUUUUUUUUUUUUUUGAGAAUGAAUUAUGCUAAGAGUUGAGAGAUAACUCUUUGAUAUAGAGUUAUUUGGGUGUAAUGGGGUUUGGCUUUGUGAGAGUGGUUCUACACCACCUUUGUAAUCUCUAUAUAUGUUAGUGAAACUUUUUCCUUGUCGUCGCCUGUGGAUGCA